GAGAGCUUCACAAAAUCCCUGAGAGUAAAUGGAAGAGGUGUUAUUAUCCCUUUUAGAUACAUAAAACAAGACAAAUCUCAGACAGCAUAAGUGACUAGACCAAGAACUCUCAGUUAAAUGAUCUUUGGUCAUUUACUGACAACCAUUACUGAAUGACUAGUAUGUGCCAGACCCCCAGAGUACAGCGAGGACGAUGCAUAAUCGUUAUUGUGGAUUGGCUGACAAUCGAAUGGGGAGAAGAGAUAAUGUGCAUGGAAGCAAAUAAGUAAAAUAACUUCAGAUACUACUGAUAAGCAAAAUGAAAGCAACAAGGUGGCUAUAUUACUUUGGCUGGCAGGCUUGUAGGAUGUACUUUGGGAAGGCCUCUCUGAAGAAGUGACCUUUGAAUGUCAACCUCAAUGCAGAGAAAGCUGCCUUGUAAGAAUCAGGAGAAAGAGCAUCCCAAGCAGAAGAAAAUCAAAGAUCAAGUCUUGAAACAAGCUGAUGAAGAGCAGAAGGGCAGAGUGGCUGAAAUGCUCCAGCCAACUCUACUCAAGACUUAUAUCCUGCAGUGGCCCAUCCAAAGUACUUAAGAGGAUGAUGCAUGAAAGAGAGAAGCCAUUUGGAGAAAUCAAAAGCCAAGUUCCACCGCCACCACCAUCAACGCAAGAACAUUAGUCCUUUAACCACCAGAAGAAUGACGCCAUUUCUGCCCUCCUUAGACUCAAGGAUAGAGUUCAAUAAAGUUCACUGUUGGUGUGAAGGAAGAAGAAAAACAGGAUCUAUUUCACACAAUCAUGAGCAGGGGCACCCAACAGGAUUUGUCACCCAAAUCCUACAACAAUUCUAUAGGAUGGGCAUAGGAUCUUGUCUUAUAGAGUCCCAGUGCCAUUUAUAUGGUGGAAAGAAACAGGGCCCAUUCUGUACCCAUAAAGAUGAGAAUCCAAACCCCUAAGCUUCCCAUUAUACCUACCAAUGUUGAAAGAAACACAGUAUGAAUUACAAGUUAAGUUUGUUAAGUGUAACAUUUUCCAAUAAAUUUCCUUGAUGAGU